GGGGGGGCGUGGGUGAGGCGGGAGGGGCGGCUCGCGGGUCACCGCGGAGAUGGCCGUGACGUCACACAGGUCCGGCCCGCAGACCCCCUUCGGGGCUCGGCGACGAUCACUCCGGGGACAAAAUGGACAUGCUAUUCAGAAGAACUUUGUGAUCUGAUGGAUUCUGAUGCAAGCCCAGGGGCUUUGGAAAGGCUGACUCACGGAUCCAAGAACAGCGUCUCCCCUGACGGCCCCGUCUUGGAAGCUUU